UACGUAGGCAGCGAGCGUUGUUCGGAAUUACUGGGCGUAAAGAGUGUGUAGGCGGUGCUCUAAGUCUGUCGUGAAAUCUCCCGGCUUAACUGGGAGGGUGCGGCGGAAACUGGAGUGCUAGAGGGUGGGAGAGGAAAGCGGAAUUCCUGGUGUAGCGGUGAAAUGCGUAGAUAUCGAGAGGAACACCUGCGGCGAAGGCGGGUUGCUGGGCCGACACUGACGCUGAUGCGCGAAAGCCAGGGGAGCGAACGGG
rnacentral:rRNA from 1 species